UCUUAACAGGAGGUCUUGAUUACUUUUCCAUUUCCAAACCACACAUCAUAAUGGGGAUGGAAUGUGGUUACCAUAAAUUGUUGGUUUACAAAUCAUCACUGACUUGUUAGCAACAGCUAGGAUGUUAGAGUUAGAGCAACAGUUUGGAUGUGAUAAAAUAGCAAGGGCCAUUUUUCAUGGCAUUGUUGGAAUGAAUAUAAAUGAAUUCUUCCCAGAGAUUCAUUGUGGUGGUUGUGGUAAAUAACAAACUGCAUAUUUCCUGCUGAUGUUGAAAUCAAUGGGAGUUUUAUUAUUGGCAUCAGGAGAAACAGGAUUUGACCUUAACAGAAAAGAGAAGAGGAAAAGAGAAAAAGAUGAGGAAAAGAGAAGAAUGAGAUUGAGAAUUCUAAAAUGACUAGUGCUUCAGUUGCCUGGGUGGAGGCACUUCAAAAGAGGAGUCUGAAAAACAGAAAACUGGGGCCCCCCUUUCCAUUUGGAUUUCCUCCCAAAUUUUCCUUUGAAUUCUCUGUUUGUGAACAUUGAAAUGGAGGAAAAAACAAGUGGAACAGAGGUCUUGGGUCCAAAACAGCAAAACGCGUGCAUUCCACAACAGGACAGCUCUUCCUCGUCAGUGCACUGCUCUAUGAGGAUUUCAGAAAGAAGCAUUUCAGCUUCACUACUUUCCCCUGAACACUGGGAUGUUCAAAAGAGAAGCAUUCAAACUGGUAUCUUGGAGCCAGCUCACAAUAACUGUGCCUCUACUACCGAACAUCCGAGCCAAAAAACAGAAAGACAAAAGCCAAAGCCAAACCAAAAGACAAGAAGCAGAGACAGCAAAGAAGACAGAGAGAGAAGAAAACAAAACUACCUCACAUACAGACCUUAUGCUGAAAGCCCAAAGAUUAGAAAAAUAACCUCUGUAAAAGACAGUUUCAACAUUAGGAGAUGA